UCAAGAAGGUACCUGGAGGGACCUUGGGGUAACUGGUUUUCUCUGGGGCAGCGCACCCUUCUGAACAUCAGGGGUCUGGAGGUCCUCUCCGCUUGGGGCGGAAGUCUCCGAGAAAGAAUCUUCUGAACUGUGUAGCCCCAAACUGUCCGGAGAAAGCAACAGGGCCUUUAAAGGCAGGAAUCUUCACCCUGCGCCAGGGGGUAGGAAGGAAACCUUCUCUGAGUCCCCCACUCACCCCCACCGUGGACCUAACCUUGUGCGUCGGGCUAGUAUCCACAGACUUACAGGCACUGAGUCCGGCCACAGACAAGAGACAUCACCCCCCCUACACCCACCCCUGCUGCCACCAGCCCUACAGAUGAGCAAGGUUUCAGACCCUAAAUGCCCCUGCUGGGCCAGGGACCUGGUGGACACCAGCGCCAGCCACAGCACCAUGGCAACCCAGGCCGCCCAUCAGUUGGUGGAGUGUAAUUAUAAAAACGAAAACGAAAACACAAGAAAAAACCCUCCAAAAGUUUGCUGCUCCAUGUAAUUACUUAUCUGCUGCUUCCUUCCCCCGUCAAAUGCUGCUUUUACAGUAAACAGAUAUCUGAGGGUCUCAGAACCUUAUAUGCCCCUUUCGGAGUAAAAACAAUGCACUGUGUCUACAGCCCCCCUUGACUGUAAAGCCAACUCGCUCUCGGCUUUACAGACAUUAGACCACACAUUUCUUAUAGCCUCUACCCCCAGGACUGGGUAUCCUCUGAGAAGAGGAGAAAAGAGAACGUGGAGUGGAAGAAAAGAUCAUGAAAAAAAAAAAAAAGAAAAAGAAAAAAAGAAAAGAUCAUGAGGAAGGUCGGUAAUUCAGCAAGGGACAAUGGAUGGCUGUUCACUGACAGGUCUAGCAGUUGAUCCACCUGGAAUGUACACACGGGGCCUCUCCAUGUGGCCGGCGCUUCCUUCCAACAUGGCAGCUAGAGUUCAAGCAGGGCAUCUGUGCAGGAUACAUGGUGCAGAUGACAAUGACACCAACCUCAGGGAGCCUGGAUGCCUGAGUCACCACGUGGAGGAGAACCAUCCUAUCCAUAAUGACUUUGAUCCUUCAUACGGGCAAGCAUGCAGGCUCUGUAGCACCUCAGCUGGGCCCACACUCUCUCCACAGCCGAGUCCCAGUUCUGCAGCACUGAGUGUAAGUUGCCCUUCCACUCCCCUCACCGUGUGGGAUCUUAGUUCCUCAACCACGGAUCGAACCUGCACCACUCUCAAUGGAAGCUCAGAGUCUUAACCACUGGACCGCCAGGGAAGUCCUUUUGAUUCUGCAAAUUCAUGCCUGAGAAUCCAGGCUUGGGAGAGACUGUAAUAUAUGAAACAUUCUUUAGACCUAGAGAUGUCUAAC